GACGAACGCUGGCGGCGUGCUUAACACAUGCAAGUCGAACGGAAAGGCCCUGCUUUUGUGGGGUGCUCGAGUGGCGAACGGGUGAGUAACACGUGAGUAACCUGCCCUUGACUUUGGGAUAACUUCAGGAAACUGGGGCUAAUACCGGAUAGGAGCUCCUGCUGCAUGGUGGGGGUUGGAAAGUUUCUGCGGUUGGGGAUGGACUCGCGGCUUAUCAGCUUGUUGGUGGGGUAGUGGCUUACCAAGGCUUUGACGGGUAGCCGGCCUGAGAGGGUGACCGGCCACAUUGGGACUGAGAUACGGCCCAGACUCCUACGGGAGGCAGCAGUGGGGAAUAUUGCACAAUGGGCGGAAGCCUGAUGCAGCAACGCCGCGUGCGGGAUGACGGCCUUCGGGUUGUAAACCGCUUUCGCCUGUGACGAAGCGUGAGUGACGGUAAUGGGUAAAGAAGCACCGGCUAACUACGUG
rnacentral:rRNA from 1 species